AGAACAGGAUUUCUGAGCAUGCAGUCAUAACUCUAGGUCAUUCAUUAAUUUCAGGCCCUGCUAGCAGAUACCAAGGAUGACAGUGAAAACAGUCACACGGAAGAAGGAGGGAGGGAGGACCGUGCACUACAAAGAACUCUUUUACACCGAGUUGAGAAAUCAUCGGGUUGUUAGAAUUGGACAGAACAUUUAACUCCCAUUCCUUUAUCAUCUAAAAUCUGAUAUCAUGUCAUUUGGUUCACUUCCUACAAAUAAUUACCUUUUGGCUACAUCAAGGUUAUAAUGAUAAGUUAUCAUUUCGGAGCCCAGACUACAGCCCUCGAACCAAGCUAAGUGACUUAAGUGUGCCAUCUCAUUUAACCCCCACAAAGAUUAUACUUGGCCAGGCUGAUAUCACUUAUUUCAUUUCACAGAUGAGGAUAUUGAUCUCAUGGUCACAAAGCUAGUAAACGGCCGAGAAUCACGCCUCGGUCUGUCCAGCUUCAAAACCUGGAUCCAUCACCAUGACACGCUGCUGAAUGAGGCCCGGGUUCGAGAGUAUCACACUUUAAAAAUAUCAUGAUGCAGAUGAGGAUGUGGUACAGUGAUGACUACCAUGUACACAGUACAUUCUAGACACACACUGUCCCCAAGUGCUUCUCUGCAUCUUCACUUAGUCCCCACUGCAACCCCAUGAGGCCAGCACUGUGACUGGAGGAUGCUGAGAGCAGUGAGGUGAAAUAAGCUGCCCGGCGUCACACAGCUGGGAACUGGCAGAAUUGGGAUUCCAGCUCAGGGAAGCGCCCAUGCUCUUAACUCUUAGGCUACACUGCCUGGCUCUUGGGUGGGGGAUCACUGCAGACAGAGUUAAGCUUUGGUGUGUGGGGGGCGGGGGAGGCAGGGGGAGGGGCAGGUGCUUCAAAGAUGGAAGGGAACACAGAGAAGGGACUUUGCCAACUAAUAUUAGCACAAGUCACAUACUGAGACGAAGGUUUUAAAGAGGAUUUUUUUCCCCCGCUAUUUGAGUUCAUGAGAAGAGUUUGUUACCUAUUGAACAAAUAGUCUUCACUAAUAAAGAACAAUGUGACAAGAAGUCAGCACUGUUCUUAGAUAACUGGGGACACAGGGAGGGCACUCCAGUGUUCCCAUGGAAGGAAUGAAUUCGGGCACAGUCCGUCCCGUGCAACUCCCCUAGGGAGAGAAGGGGCAACUGGAUUCCUCUCGACAAACUAGAAACUUUGUGACAAUGACAAGCUGUUCCCACCCCGGCCCUCCCCUAGGAUGCUGGAGAGCCCAGAGAGGGAAGAGAAGAAACCCAGCGUUGGUGCGGUGCCCACCGCGGACUCGACUUCAUUCCACCUUCACGCUGAGAGGUGACACCGUCGUUCCCACAGUGAGACCUGGCGCUCGGGUGCCCCAGGGGGGGUUGCCCAAGGUCACAGAACAGCAAGCAGCAGGCCAAGAUACCUAGAGAGAGUUCGCGGGGCCGGAGGCUCCCUGCUGUCUCCUGCAAGUGCGUGGGGGUGGGGUCUGAUUUCCACCCGUGUUGGACGUCAGCGGCCUCCGACGCUUUUUGGAAGCAGACUUUUCAGGAACACCUGCUGUGUGGCCGGCACUGUAGUAGGUGCCAGGGAUACAAAGAAGAAACUUUCAGGGCUCUUAGGAAGACAGGAAAACAAGUCAAUCAGCAAUGGUCCUAGCGUGAUGAGGAAACUGAGGUUCUGAAUGAUUAGAUGACUCACCCGAUAUCACACAGCUGGUAAGCACGUGAACCAGGAUGAGAAACCCAGGCUAUCUAUGCCAGUGCCCAGUUAACCAGUUCACCAGAACACCAGAAGCCGCCCCCAGGGCUGCAAGCUGACCAUGCCUGGGACACAGGAGGUUGCAGUGGUGAAGAUCAACAGGCGGGGCGAGGAGCAUCUCCGUCUCCCUCUGAAGACCAUUUGGAAGAGGGUGUGAGAGCUGCCGCCAGGCUUUCCCAGAGAACAGCUGGGCCUGGAAGGGGCGGUCCAGGUCCCAUAAUAACUGCUACCUGCUGCUGCAGCAAUUUUCCCUGCUGGGUGUUUCCAAGUCCGAGUCUCCUGGGGGAGGAGGCUGGGAGGAGGAGGAGGAGGAGGGCUGAUUCUCUAAACUCCCCCUGCUUCUCACCAAAGGUCUGUCCUUGGCCCAGCUUCCCUUCCGAAGGUUGAGUAAUCUCAAAAAAUUGCAGCCUGGCAUGAAAGAGCAGGCCUGCAGGCCAAGCCAGAUCACGUCCGCACGCGGGAUGCUUGGCCCACAUGCUCCUGUACACUUGUAACUGUUAAACCAGAGGACAAGAAGCAACAGAUGUCCUCAGAUCACCAAACCAGCAAAUGCGCAGAGCCAUGGUGGGCGUCUGGCCCCAGUGCUUGGGUGGCCCCUAACAUCAGAUUAAGGAAAAAAGACCUCUCCUCAGCUGGAACGUCCCACUUCCUCCUCCCUCCUCCUCACCAGUAUUUUUCUCUCUGCUUUGCCUGGAUUGGAGUCCUGACCUGGCUACUCCCAGCUGUGUGAACUGGGCCAGCAACUUAGCUCCGUUGUGCCUCAGUUUCUCCAUCUCUAAAUGAAGCGCUUAUUCCUCUCUCAUGGAGCCGUCGUGAGAAUUACGUGAAUGAAUACAGGCUGACUACUUUGAACAGUGCCUGGUACGUAAAGCCCUGUACACUGUAGCUUUUGCUGAUGGUGGUAGACACUCUGCUAUUUAGAGAGGUGUUCUUUCUCUCGAGGCUUUGAUUCCUGCUAAAACAGAAAUCAUUUGGAAAUGGACACUUUUUCUGCCAUUUAGAGAGGUAUUCUUUGUCUUGAGCCUUUGAUUCCUGUUAAAAUAGAAAUGAUUCAAAAAUGAA
rnacentral:lncRNA from 1 species